CUGGUGCUGCUUGGAGUCUCCACCACUGGGAGCAUAGCUCGCCUGGGCGCCGGGCGCUGAGCUGUGCGCUUUCUGUUCUUUAUUGCCUUGAAACGUCACACUGGCCUUAAGAAAUGGAUACUCUUACUACCUUUUGCAGGUCUUGCCGGGGAAUCUGGAAGGAAAACCGCCCCUCCAGCAAGAGAAGGACAUUUUGACCCAGUGCCUCUUCCCACUGGUUUUGCAGAUGAGCCCUCCCUCUUCCCACCUGUUCCUCUUGCACCAGUUUUAGAGAUGACUUCUGCUCUGCUGGGCGCCCUUGGUGACUAACACAGGAACCAAGGUGCUACCUCCUCCAGAAAGCCUUUCCAGAUUCUCCCUCCCUCUUCCUUCACCUGAGCCAGGUGGAGUUUGGGGAGCUGUGUGAUGAAAAGAAUAUAUAAAUGAAAUUGUAAAGACCUAGGUUUGAAUUCUGCCACCAUUUACUAUGCGUGUAACCUUGGCAAUCACUUAACCUCUCUGAGCCUCAACAUCUAUCUGUAAAUUAAUGGCAGCAAAUUAUUUAAGAGGAUGGUCGUGAGAGUUAAAUGAUAAAACAUAGCCA
rnacentral:lncRNA from 1 species